rnacentral:piRNA from 1 species
UAAAGCUCUACAUGCAGAUUGCA